GACGAACGCUGGCGGCGUGCUUAACACAUGCAAGUCGAACGGAAAGGCCCUGCUUUUGUGGGGUGCUCGAGUGGCGAACGGGUGAGUAACACGUGAGUAACCUGCCCUUGACUUUGGGAUAACUUCAGGAAACUGGGGCUACUACCGGAUAGGAGCUCCUGCUGCAUGGUGGGGGUUGGACAGUUUCGGCGGUUGGGGAUGGACUCGCGGCUUAUCAGCUUGUUGGUGGGGUAGUGGCUUACCAAGGCUUUGACGGGUAGCCGGCCUGAGAGGGUGACCGGCGACAUUGGGACUGAGGUACGGACCAGAGGCCUACGGGAGGCAGCAGGCGGGAGUAUUGCACAAUGGGGGGAAGCCUGAUGUAGCAACGCCGGGUGUGGGAUGAAGGCCUGCGGGUUGUAAACCGCUUUCGGCUGUGACGAAGCGUGAGUGACGGUAAUGGGUAAAGAAGCACCGGCUAACUACGUG
rnacentral:rRNA from 1 species